rnacentral:rRNA from 1 species
GAUGAACGCUGGCAGCAUGCUUAACACAUGCAAGUCAACCGGAAAGUGGGUUUUUAACUUAGGUUUGGGUGGCGGACGGGUGAGUAACGCGUAAAGAACUUGCCUCACAGCUAGGGACAACAUUUGGAAACGAAUGCUAAUACCUAAUAUUAUGAUAAUAGGGCAUCCUAGAAUUAUGAAAGCUAUAAGCGCUGUGAGAGAGCUUUGCGUCCCAUUAGCUAGUUGGAGAGGUAACGGCUCACCAAGGCGAUGAUGGGUAGCCGGCCUGAGAGGGUGAUCGGCCACAAGGGGCCUGAGACACGGCCCUUACUCCUACGGGAGGCAGCAGUGGGGAAUAUUGGACAAUGGACCAAGAGUCUGAUCCAGCAAUUCUGUGUGCACGAUGAAGUUUUUCGGAAUGUAAAGUGCUUUCAGUUGGGAAGAAAGAAAUGACGGUACCAACAGAAGAAGUGACGGCUAACUACGUG